UACAGAAGCCUCAAGCGUUACCCGGAUUUAUUGGGCGUAAAGGAUGCGUAGGCGGUUAUAUUUGUCUUGUGUUAAAUCUUUGGGCUUAACCCAAAAUUCGCAUAGGAAACGGUAUAACUAGAAGAAGUGAGAGGUGAACAGAACUCUUGGUGUAGGGGUGAAAUCCGUUGAUAUCAAGGGGAAUACCAAAUGCGAAGGCAGUUCACUGGCACUUUCUUGACGCUGAGGCAUGAAAGCGUGGGUAGCGAAUCGG
rnacentral:rRNA from 1 species